rnacentral:rRNA from 1 species
UACGUAGGGGGCAAGCGUUGUCCGGAAUCAUUGGGCGUAAAGAGCGUGUAGGCGGCCAGAAAAGUCCGCUGUGAAAUCUCGGGGCUCAACCCCGAGCGGUCGUGGGAAACUGGUUGGCUAGAGUGCGGGAGAGGAGAGUGGAAUUCCUGGUGUAGCGGUGAAAUGCGUAGAUAUCUGGAGGAACACCGGUGGCGAAGGCGGCAUCCUGGACCGGCAUUGACGCUGAGGAGCGAAAGCCAGGGGAGCAAACGGG